rnacentral:rRNA from 1 species
CUUUACUGCAACCUGGAAUUGAGUUUGGGUUUUUUUUGUGCAGUAUAGGUGGGAGAUUAUAAUUUUAUUUAUAAUUGUCAGUGAGAUACCACCCUUAAAAAGCUAGAAUUCUAAGAGCGUUCCUUGAAACAGGACGCUUAACAGUUCUUGGUGGGCAGUUUGACUGGGGCGGUCAUCUCUUAAAAGGUAACAGAGAUGUGCAAAGGUUCCUUCAGGCUGGAUGGAAAUCAGUUGUAGAGUGUAAAGGCAUAAGGGAGCUUGACUGUAAGACUUACAAGUCAAACAGAGGCGAAAGCCGGCCUUAGUGAUCCGACGGUACCGCGUGGAAGGGCCGUCGCUAAACGGAUAAAAGUUA